rfam:Oryza rufipogon genomic scaffold, chr04
ACCCUGUGACGAUGAAGACAUCAUGUCCUACAUCCUCGCCGGCCUCGACGACGACUAUGAACCCGUGGUUUCAUCACUGGUAGGCAAGACCAAGCCAGUUCACAUCUUUGUAGUUUACUCUCAACUUUUAUGUUUUGAGU